GACGAACGCUGGCGGCGUGCUUAACACAUGCAAGUCGAACGGAAAGGCCCUGCUUUUGUUGGGUGCUCGAGUGGCGAACGGGUGAGUAACACGUGAGUAACCUGCCCUUGACUUUGGGAUAACUUCAGGAAACUGGGGCUAAUACCGGAUAGGAGCUCCUGCUGCAGGGUGGGGGUUGGAAAGUUUCGGCGGUUGGGGAUGGACUCGCGGCUUAUCAGCUUGUUGGUGGGGUAGUGGCUUACCAAGGCUUUGACGGGUAGCCGGCCUGAGAGGGUGACCGGCCACAUUGGGACUGGGAUACGGCCCAGACUCCUACGGGAGGCAGCAGUGGGGAAUAUUGCACAAUGGGCGGAAGCAUGAUGCAGCAACGCCGCGUGCGGGAUGACGGCCUUCGGGUUGUAAACCGCUUUCGCCUGUGACGAAGCGUGAGUGACGGUAAUGGGUAAAGAAGCACCGGCUAACUACGUG
rnacentral:rRNA from 1 species